UACAGAGGGGGCAAGCGUUGUUCGGAAUUACUGGGCGUAAAGGGCGCGUAGGCGGCCUUCUAAGUCGGACGUGAAAUCCCUCGGCUUAACCGAGGAACUGCGUGCGAUACUGAAAGGCUUGAAUCCGGGAGAGGGAUGUGGAAUUCCAGGUGUAGCGGUGAAAUGCGUAGAUAUCUGGAGGAACACCGGUGGCGAAGGCGGCAUCCUGGACCGGUAUUGACGCUGAGGCGCGAAAGCUAGGGGAGCAAACGGG
rnacentral:rRNA from 1 species